rnacentral:rRNA from 1 species
UACGGGGGGAGCUAGCGUUACUCGGAAUAAUUGGGCGUAAAGGGUAUGUAGGCGGUUGUUAUUAACAUAAUUUUAAAGAUAAUGGAUUUAACCUUUUAUAAAAAUUAUUUGAUUUUUAAACUUGAGUUAAAAAGGAGAUAGUCGUAUUUCUAAUUAAAAGUUAAAAUUUGUUCUAGAUUAUUGAGACGGUCGAUCGGUGUAAACAACUAUCUAUCAUUAAACUGACGCUAAAAUACAAAAGUGUUGGGUCGCGAAUAGGAUUAGAUACCCUAGUAGUCCACACCCUGACCUAUGAGUGUUGAAUGUAAGAUUUUUUUUUUGUUCAAGCUAACGCGUAAACACUCCGCCUGGGUAGUACGAUCGCAAGGUUGAAACUCAAAGGAAUUGACGGAGAUCUGCACAUGCGGUGGAACAUGUGAUUUAAUGCGUAACUACGCGCAAACCUUACCACUGCUUGUUUGGAAUUUAAGUGUGUUUUUGUAUAUGGGUUUUAAUCAGGUGUUGCAUGGUUGUCGGAAGUCCGUGUUGAGAAAUGUUAGGUUAAUUCCCUUAACGGACGUAACCUUUACUUUAAUUAUGUUAUUUUAAAAAAUGAAUUAAAUUUUGUUAUUAUUGUGUCUUGAAGUCACCGCCUAUUGAUUAUAGGAGGAAGGUGAGGAACAAGUCAAAUCUUUAUGGCCUUAAUGUCUUGGGCUAUCCACGCGUUACAUUGGUUGUUACAAUGAGAAGCGAAAAAGUGAUUUUGAGCAAAUCUAUAAAAAUGAGCCGCAGUUCGAAUUGUUUUCUGAAACUUGAAAACAUGAAGCAGGAAUCGCAAGUAAUCGUUAAAAAGAACGUUACGGUGAAAAGUAGAACUGAUCU